rnacentral:rRNA from 1 species
CAGCAGCCGCGGUAACACGGAGGGUGCAAGCGUUAAUUGGAAUUACUGGGCGUAAAGCGCACGCAGGCGGUCUGACAAGUCAGAUGUGAAAUCCCCGGGCUUAACCUGGGAACUGCAUUUGAAACUGUCAGGCUGGAGUCUUGUAGAGGGGGGUAGAAUUCCAGGUGUAGCGGUGAAAUGCGUAGAGAUCUGGAGGAAUACCGGUGGCGAAGGCGGCCCCCUGGACAAAGACUGACGCUCAGGUGCGAAAGCGUGGGGAGCAAACAGGAUUAGAUACCCCGGUAGUCCCUGUCUCUUAUAC